AUUAAACUAGAGAGUUUCGUUUUGUGCGCUUUAAAGUAUUUUAUUUGGUCAUUAAAUUAAAAUGAAUAGAUAAAAAUAGAAAAAUAAAUAAAAAAUGAGCUACUAACAGUGAAGGUGGUUAGUGCUGUGUGUAUAUGAAAUCUUGAUGGUUUUACCAAAUGUUAUUUCAUGUUAGUUGAAUUUAUUUAUUGCAAUCGAAUAAUCAUUGACUUUAA
rnacentral:misc_RNA from 1 species